CAUCUGUUGGUUAGCUGUUGUUCAGGCAUCUCUGUUUCCCUGAUGCUGAUAGAACCUAACCACUUUAUGGUUGUAUGCUGCGCAACCACUCAGGAGGUUUUAUGGUCAUUGUCAGGAUGUUUCACUCAACAGUUUUUGUGGUUACCAUUUCAGCCGUGCCCCAACGGCAAGGGUACCCGUCGCGUUCUCCAGUCUCCACCAUGCCUAGUCUUGUCUUGUGUUGUACUAUGUUUUUGUUGCUUCUUAAUAUUAAAGCAGCGCUACCCAUUCUGUGCUUCUUAUCAGUGGCAGCUUGUUUCGCAGUUUGCUCAACUUCAAUAUGCUGCUUCACAUAUUACUUCUUGGCCUUAUUUCCACCCUACAGAUUCCUGCAUCCUCUGCUGCCAUUGACUCCAUUGCACCAGGCCAAGGACUUGUUUGCGGUGUCGGUGACAAGCUUGUCUCCCUAGAUGGCAAGUUUGCGCUUGGCUUCUUCCAACCAGGCAGUAAGUCCCGCAACACCUUGAAUUGGUACCUAGGCAUUUGGUUUAAUAAAGUCCCCAAGAUAACUCCGGUGUGGGUCGCAAACCGUGAUGAUCCAAUCACACAGCCAGCUUUAGUUAGGUUCACAAUUUCCCAAGAUGGCAAUCUUGUCAUCUUGGAUCAAGCCACCAAUUCCAUGAUCUGGUCUAGCGGAGUUAGUAUCAGAACCAACACCACCAUGGCCAUGCUCAUGAACAGUGGAAACCUUGUCCUACAAAAUGCCUCAAAGUCAUCCGACAUUUUAUGGCAGAGUUUUGAUCACCCAACAAAUACUUUUCUCCCUGGUGCAAAGAUCGGCCAAGACAAGGUCACUGGUUUGACUCGCCGUCUUGUUUCCGGAAAGAACUUGAUUGACCCAGCUCGUGGUCGUUACUGUUAUGAGUUAGUUCCUAACAGGUUGAUCCUUACACUUUUGAACUCAUCGAUAGCAUACUGGUCUAGCGGGGAAUGGAAUGGACAGUAUUUUAGCUCCAUUCCAGAGAUGUUAAGCCGCAGCUUGAUAGACUUCAAGUUUGUCAACAACACAAAUGAAGAGUACUUCACAUUCACCUUACUGAAUGACACGAUGAUCAUGCAUCAUCUACUUGAUGUUUCUGGUCAAAUGAAGACUUUAAUCUGGGAUGAGGUCUCGCAGGGUUGGUUAGGUUCCUACUCCAACCCCAAAGCUCAGUGUGAUGUCUAUGCUCUCUGUGGACCAUUCACUGUGUGCGAUGAUAACUCAGCUCCAUAUUGUAGCUGUAUGAAGGGCUUCUCCAUAAGAUCCCCAGAGGAUUGGGAGCAAAAUGAUAGAAGCGGUGGAUGCGUGAGAAAUACUCCUUUAAAUUGUGGCAGUAACAGGAGUACUGCAGGAAUGACUGAUGAAUUCUACUCCUUGUCCAAUGUGAAAUUGCCUCAGAAUGCUGACAACAUAGGCGCUGCUAUCAGUGCUAGAGAAUGCGCAGAAGUUUGCCUGAGAAAUUGCUCUUGCACUGCGUAUUCUUGCACUGACAGUCAAUGCUCCAUUUGGCAUGAGGAACUCCUCAAUGUAAAACAGCAGCAUGCUGACACUACCGAUACAAAUGAUGGCGCAGUUCUUUAUCUUCGCCUUGCUGCAAAAGAGAUGCAAACUCAGAAACCUGACAGAAGAGUGGCCACUCGGAUUUUGUCAGCUGCCAUUGUCACCGCACUGGGGUUGCUGGCACUCAUAUUGCUAGUUCUUCUACUGAUGAUUCGGAGGAACAAUAGGGAUUGGUCUGGUGGUACACUGAAAAAUCCUCAAGACGGUGGUGGAAUUAUUGCAUUUAGAUACAUUGAUUUGCAGAGGGCAACAAGAAAUUUCUCCGAGAAGCUAGGUGCCGGCGGCUUUGGUUCUGUGUUCAAGGCAUAUCUGACCGACUCAGCUACAAUGGCAGUGAAAAGGCUUGAUGGUGCUUGUCAAGGAGAAAAACAAUUCAGGGCUGAGGUGACUUCAGUCGGAGUUAUACAACAUAUCAAUUUAGUUAGACUGAUCGGUUUCUGUUGCGAGGGUGAACGGAGGUUACUUGCAUAUGAGCACAUGCCAAAUCGUUCUCUUGACAUCCAUCUAUUUCAGGACAACAACACAGUUUUAAACUGGGGAACCAGGUAUAAAAUAGCUCUGGGAGUUGCUAGAGGGCUGGCUUACCUGCAUGAGAGCUGCCAAGACUUGAUCAUACACUGUGAUAUCAAGCCACAAAAUAUUCUUCUUGACACGUCGUUUGUUGCUAAAAUUGCUGACUUUGGUAUGGCCAAGUUAAUAGGGAGGGAUUUUAGCCGGGUUCUGACUACAACAAGAGGAACUGCAGGAUACCUUGCACCCGAAUGGAUAAGCGGGGUUGCUAUCACGGCAAAAGUCGAUGUUUAUGGUUAUGGGAUGGUGCUAAUGGAAAUAAUAUCAGGAAGACAGAAUUCAUUUGAACAAUACAGUGUAGGUGGUGACUGUGCUGUUUUCUUCCCUGUGCAUGCUGCGCAAAUGCUUCUCGAGGGAGAUGUGGCAAGCUUGGUGGAUCAAAAAUUAUCGGGUGAUGUAAAUCUAGAGGAGGCUGAACGGCUAUGCAAGGUUGCUUGUUGGUGCAUUCAGGAUGAUGAGUUUGAUCGGCCGACGAUGGGCGAAGUUGUUCGUAUUCUAGAGGGCCUAUCUGAUCUUGAUACGCCUCCCAUUCCAAGACUACUUCAGGCCAUUACAAGGAGGAGCUCUCACCCCCCUUCCACCUACCUCUCUAAUGAAUCAGAAUAAUGAAGAUGCAACAUGGCGUACAUCAGAAAAACAUCUAUUCCCUCCGGUCCAAAUUAAUUGACUCAGACUUAGUACAAGGUUAAUAUGAACCGGAGGGAGUACUAAUAUAUACGAAACAUAGUAUGAAAGUCUGAGGGAGCAAGAAGAAUGACACCAUAUAUCUGUGUAAUUUAAGCUUUACUCUGUAGUCUGUACCAGGUGUGUAAAAUAUCUGUCCAAUCGUUCUAAUCUACAGUCUGAAAUAAAAUUCGUCAAAAGCUCAGUGCAAUCUCUUGCAGGAUUGAUUUUGCUUCGUGGUGGUGUCGUUCACUUCUUCACUGGAAUAUACUGUAUAUGUUUUAUCAUUUGUUGCCUUGCCCUGUUUAAUACGGGAUUCUAGUCUGGGUAUGAUAAGUUCUGAAGUUAAUUUGAGGGCGGUAGUUCCUCAGGAUUCGUGGUAGUAGCUUCAUAUUCUGAUGGUCAUUUUGAAUUUGGACGGGAUGCAGUGUUGGUGGUGUAGGCCUUUCUCUUCUGUUCUUUGACCAUUGCCC
rnacentral:rRNA from 1 species